GAAGGUGGCAAGCGUUGUUCGGAUUUACUGGGCGUACAGGGAGCGUAGGCGGUUCGGUAAGCCCUCUGUGAAAUCCCCAGGCUUAACCUGGAACAGUCGGAGGGGACUGCUGGGCUAGAGGACGGGAGAGGAGCGCGGAAUUCCCGGUGUAGCGGUGAAAUGCGUAGAGAUCGGGAGGAAGGCCGGUGGCGAAGGCGGCGCUCUGGAACGUUUCUGACGCUGAGGCUCGAAAGCGUGGGGAGCAAACAGGAUUAGAUACCUUGGUAGUCCACGCCUUAAACUAUGAAUACUAAGUGUCGGCGGGUUACCGCCGGUGCCGCAGCUAACGCAUUAAGUAUUCCGCCUGGGAAGUACGGCCGCAAGGUUG
rnacentral:rRNA from 1 species